GCAGUGAUCAUGAAUGUAUUUCACAAUGCAAUAGGCAGAAGUUUGCAUGUUUCUUAUAGAGAAUCCUCAGACCUGAGCAAGUCGUUCUAGGACUCGUCGAUAAUCUGAAAUAAGUUGCUGAAAACAAAGGAUUUACACAUAUGAACAACAUUACCACAUUUCACCACCUCCUGACAAUUUGUUGACACUGUGAUGAUGAUUUGUAUUCUACUAAAAUAAAUUAAAGGUUAAUUGGAUAUUUCCUUACCAGGAAUGGAAGCAGAAAAUGAAAAGAACUUGGAGAAGGGAUAUUCAGACAAAAUAAAAAGAAGGAAAAGAAGUUGGCAUUUGGGAAAGCCUGAGUGGUGGACAAAGUGUUCAUUCACUCCUUCCCCUCAUGAGAAAUUCAAAUAAAAAAUUUAAAUGACAGAAAAGCUACCUUAUAUGGGCCCAUCAAUCUUCUUUUUACAUCCAAUCUAUAACUUCUGGAUUGUUCUGCAUUACUCAUGUCUGUUGCAUGUAACCGGAGAAUUUCAUAAACUCGCCGUGUAUGUUGCUAACAGUAAAAGGAAAAACAUAUGAUAAAAGGAGUUGGAAUUAUGGCUCCCAAUGUACAAAGUUAAAAA